CAUGUGCUGUGAGCUCGAUGAGUAGGGCGGGACACGUGGUAUCCUGUCUGAAUAUGGGGGGACCAUCCUCCAAGGCUAAAUACUCCUGACUGACCGAUAGUGAACCAGUACCGUGAGGGAAAGGCGAAAAGAACCCCGGCGAGGGGAGUGAAAAAGAACCUGAAACCGUGUACGUACAAGCAGUGGGAGCACAGGUUUACCUGUGUGACUGCGUACCUUUUGUAUAAUGGGUCAGCGACUUAUAUUCUGUAGCAAGGUUAACCGAAUAGGGGAGCCGGAGGGAAACCGAGUCUUAACCGGGCGUUAAGUUGCAGGGUAUAGACCCGAAACCCGGUGAUCUAGCCAUGGGCAGGUUGAAGGUUGGGUAACACUAACUGGAGGACCGAACCGACUAAUGUUGAAAAAUUAGCGGAUGACCUGUGGCUGGGGGUGAAAGGCCAAUCAAACCGGGAGAUAGCUGGUUCUCCCCGAAAGCUAUUUAGGUAGCGCCUCGUGAAUUCAUCUCCGGGGGUAGAGCACUGUUUCGGCUAGGGGGCCAUCCCGGCUUACCAACCCGAUGCAAACUGCGAAUACCGGAGAAUGUUAUCACGGGAGACACACGGCGGGUGCUAACGUCCGUCGUGAAGAGGGAAACAACCCAGACCGCCAGCUAAGGUCCCAAAGUCAUGGUUAAGUGGGAAACGAUGUGGGAAGGCCCAGACAGCCAGGAUGUUGGCUUAGAAGCAGCCAUCAUUUAAAGAAAGCGUAAUAGCUCACUGGUCGAGUCGGCCUGCGCGGAAGAUGUAACGGGGCUAAACCAUGCACCGAAGCUGCGGCAGCGACGCUUAUGCGUUGUUGGGUAGGGGAGCGUUCUGUAAGCCUGUGAAGGUGGCCUGUGAGGGUUGCUGGAGGUAUCAGAAGUGCGAAUGCUGACAUAAGUAACGAUAAAGCGGGUGAAAAGCCCGCUCGCCGGAAGACCAAGGGUUCCUGUCCAACGUUAAUCGGGGCAGGGUGAGUCGACCCCUAAGGCGAGGCCGAAAGGCGUAGUCGAUGGGAAACGGGUUAAUAUUCCCGUACUUGGUGUUACUGCGAAGGGGGGACGGAGAAGGCUAUGUUGGCCGGGCGACGGUUGUCCCGGUUUAAGCGUGUAGGUGUGUGUUCCAGGUAAAUCCGGUUCACUUUAACACUGAGGCGUGACGACGAGGCACUACGGUGCUGAAGCAACAAAUGCCCUGCUUCCAGGAAAAGCCUCUAAGCAUCAGGUAACAUCAAAUCGUACCCCAAACCGACACAGGUGGUCAGGUAGAGAAUACCAAGGCGCUUGAGAGAACUCGGGUGAAGGAACUAGGCAAAAUGGUGCCGUAACUUCGGGAGAAGGCACGCUGACACGUAGGUGAAGUGAUUUACUCAUGGAGCUGAAGUCAGUCGAAGAUACCAGCUGGCUGCAACUGUUUAUUAAAAACACAGCACUGUGCAAACACGAAAGUGGACGUAUACGGUGUGACGCCUGCCCGGUGCCGGAAGGUUAAUUGAUGGGGUCAGCGCAAGCGAAGCUCCUGAUCGAAGCCCCGGUAAACGGCGGCCGUAACUAUAACGGUCCUAAGGUAGCGAAAUUCCUUGUCGGGUAAGUUCCGACCUGCACGAAUGGCGUAAUGAUGGCCAGGCUGUCUCCACCCGAGACUCAGUGAAAUUGAACUCGCUGUGAAGAUGCAGUGUACCCGCGGCAAGACGGAAAGACCCCGUGAACCUUUACUAUAGCUUGACACUGAACAUUGAGCCUUGAUGUGUAGGAUAGGUGGGAGGCUUUGAAGUGUGGACGCCAGUCUGCAUGGAGCCGACCUUGAAAUACCACCCUUUAAUGUUUGAUGUUCUAACGUGGACCCGUAAUCCGGGUUGCGGACAGUGUCUGGUGGGUAGUUUGACUGGGGCGGUCUCCUCCUAAAGAGUAACGGAGGAGCACGAAGGUUGGCUAAUCCUGGUCGGACAUCAGGAGGUUAGUGCAAUGGCAUAAGCCAGCUUGACUGCGAGCGUGACGGCGCGAGCAGGUGCGAAAGCAGGUCAUAGUGAUCCGGUGGUUCUGAAUGGAAGGGCCAUCGCUCAACGGAUAAAAGGUACUCCGGGGAUAACAGGCUGAUACCGCCCAAGAGUUCAUAUCGACGGCGGUGUUUGGCACCUCGAUGUCGGCUCAUCACAUCCUGGGGCUGAAGUAGGUCCCAAGGGUAUGGCUGUUCGCCAUUUAAAGUGGUACGCGAGCUGGGUUUAGAACGUCGUGAGACAGUUCGGUCCCUAUCUGCCGUGGGCGCUGGAGAACUGAGGGGGGCUGCUCCUAGUACGAGAGGACCGGAGUGGACGCAUCACUGGUGUUCGGGUUGUCAUGCCAAUGGCACUGCCCGGUAGCUAAAUGCGGAAGAGAUAAGUGCUGAAAGCAUCUAAGCACGAAACUUGCCCCGAGAUGAGUUCUCCCUGAGACUUAGAGUCUCCUGAAGGAACGUUGAAGACGACGACGUUGAUAGGCCGGGUGUGUAAGCGCAGCGAUGCGUUGAGCUAACCGGUACUAAUGAACCGUGAGGCUUAACC
rnacentral:rRNA from 1 species